rnacentral:rRNA from 1 species
UACGAAGGGUGCAAGCGUUACUCGGAAUUACUGGGCGUAAAGCGUGCGUAGGCGGUUUGUUAAGUCCGCUGUGAAAGCCCUGGGCUCAACCUGGGAAUUGCAGUGGAUACUGGCAAGCUAGAGUGCGGUAGAGGAUGGUGGAAUUCCCGGUGUAGAGGUGAAAUUCGUAGAUAUGGGGAGGAACCCCGGUGGCGAAGGCGGCCACCUGGACGGUCACUGACGCUGAGACGCGAAAGCGUGGGGAGCAAACAGG